rnacentral:piRNA from 1 species
UAACACUUGUGCUAAACGAAA